UGAUAUUUUCAGGAAUAUGUAAGUCCACAGAUUGUCACAGUACUGACAAAAUCCCCCAAGGUCGCCCAACUCUGACGGUCGUCCAACUCUGAAGGUCGUCCAACUCUGAAGGUCCUCUAACUCUGAAAGUCGUGCAACUCUGAAGGUGGUCUAACUCUGAAGGUGGUCCAACUUUCAAGGUGGUUCAACUCUCAAGGUGGUCCAACUCUGAAGGUGGUCCAACUCUGAAGGUCGUCCAACUCUGAAGGUCCUCUAACUCUGAAGGUCGUUCAACUCUGAAGGUGGUCCAACUCUGAAGGUGGUCCAACUCUGAAGGUGGUCCAACUCUCAAGGUCGUCCAACUCUGAAGGUCGUCUAACUCUGAAGGUCGUUCAACUCUGAAGGUCGUCCAACUCUGAAGGUCGUCCAACUCUGAAGGUCGUCUAACUCUGAAGGUCGUCCAACUCUGAAGGUCGUCCAACUCUGAAGGUCGUCUAACUCUGA